GAUAGCUAAGUCAGUAGAGCAUGAGACUCUUAAACUCAACGCCAUGGGUUUGAGCCCCACUGCA